rnacentral:rRNA from 1 species
UACGUAGGGUGCAAGCGUUGUCCGGAUUUAUUGGGCGUAAAGAGCUCGUAGGCGGUCUGUCGCGUCGGAUGUGAAAACCCAGGGCUCAACCCUGGGCCUGCAUUCGAUACGGGCAGACUAGAGUACGGCAGGGGAGACUGGAAUUCCUGGUGUAGCGGUGAAAUGCGCAGAUAUCAGGAGGAACACCGGUGGCGAAGGCGGGUCUCUGGGCAUUAACUGACGCUGAGGAGCGAAAGCAUGGGGAGCGAACAGG